GAGUGAGUGAAAUAUGCAGGAGAAAUGGAGGGAAAGCAAAAACAAGAACUGAACCUCCAAUUCGUUUUCUCUGAACCAAGAACCGUCUAUGGUCGCCGUCGUGGACCAAACCGGUCUGGAGCUAGUGGUGCUUCUCAGAUUUAAUUAGCCACACUUUCUAGGCCUCUGGCCCCUGUCGCCUUCUUUACGGCUCCGAAAGCACACUGGUCACUGAGUGAGGAGGUGCUUGGUACGAGACAAAGUAGUUGCCUGCAGAGAGAAAGAUUCAGAAAUAAGAGAUUUGAAGGAAAAGAUAGUGAAACUCAGUAGCUACGGCAGGCAGUUGGAGAAGCAAAAAACAGAACUUAUACAAAAGGUGAAGUCACAGCAUGGAAAAAGGAAAAGAACAUCCAUCUACCCUAAGACCAUCUAGCUCAAAUCCCCCAUCCGGGGACAUACCAUCAACUUCUCCAAACAUCCCAAUGCACGGUUACAACGUAGGAUCCCCAUCCGCGGACAUACCAUCAACUUCUCCAAACAUCCCAAUGCCCGGUUACUAUGGACCAGUGCAUGCUUGGUCACCAAGUUUUCUCCCAUUUCCCGCUGUCAACCAAUAUCAAGCAAUGCACAGGUGGUGAAAAUCAUGUUUUCCAUUUAGUUUUAAUAAGUUGGUUUUUUUGAAGAGUUGAACUGCAGUUGGUUUUUUUGAAGAGUUUAAUUGCAUUUUUUUUUUCUUUUUGACAGAAUACUUGUUACCCAUUUCAACAUGGCAUGGAAGGCCAGUUGUCUCUCAGCAAUACCUCCGUUACAAGCAGAUUUCUUGGUACGAAGGAUAAUAGACCCAAUAUUGGGGAAAAUGAAUCGCCAGCUACAUCUUUUAGAGUUGAAGAAAUUCAUCCUGAUAGACCAGAUGCAGAAGAAACAUAGUAUGGAAGUGCCGGAACAUCUGAGAAAGUGCAAAUAGAUGGUGAUGAUGAGCCAGGUUCGGGGAUGGAGUUUAAUUCCUUAGAAGAGUUAAUGAGUUAUUAUAAGGAAUAUGGUAAGAAAUGCGGGUUUUGGGUGAUGACAAAAAGGAGUGAGAGGGGAGAGGAUGAGACUGUUAGAUAUGUUACCCUUGUCUGUGCCCGGGGAGGGAAGGCCCGAAAUAGGAUUUUGAAUGUCGCCAACCCACGUCCGACGGGAAAGACGGAAUGUCAGGCAAAAAUUAAUGCCUUAAAAGUUGUUAAUGGAAAGUUUCGGCUGACUACAGUUCACAAUAUCCACAACCACGGCCUCAGUCCAAAGAAAUCUUACUUUUUUCGAUGUAAUAGAGAAGUGAGUAAAUCCAUUAAAAGAGUCCUAGAUACAAAUGAUUUGGCCGGCAUCCGAAUGAAUAAGAGUUUCGAAUCUCUUGUUGUAGGCGCGGGUGGUUUUGAGAACCUCCCGUUUUUGGAAAAGGAUUGUCGUAACUACAUUGACAAGGCACGACAUCUACGAUUGGGCGCAAGUGGUGCUGGAGCGCUUUGAGACUACUUUUUACGGAUGCAGUACAAAAUUUUAGGUUUCUUUGCACUAAUGGACUUGGAUGAUGACGAGAGGUUAAAAAAUGUAUUCUGGGCAGACUCCCGUAGUAGAGCAGCCUACCAAUAUUUUGGGGAUGUCGUAACCUUCGAGACCAUAUACUUGACUAAUCGAUAUGGGAUGCCCUUUGCGUCAUUUGUUGGUGUAAACCACCAUAGGCAGUCAAUUUUGCUGGGAGCUGGCUUGAUUUCCUCUGAGGAUACUGAGACCUUCGUGUGGUUAUUCAAAACUUUGUUGCAAUGUAUGGAUGGUAUAGCGCCGAAGGCUAUUAUCAUUGACCAAGAUAGAACCAUGAAAAAUGCUAUUGCAAUUGUUUUCCCAGAAAGCCGACAUAGAUUUUGCCUGUGGCAUAUCCUUAAAAAAGUUCCUGAAAAGCUUGGCUGUUAUGGUUCUUACAAAACUGGAAUGAAAACUGCAUUAAUGAAAUGCAUAUAUGACACCCAAACGCCGGAAGAGUUUGAAAACUGUUGGGAUCAGUUGAUUAGCACGUACAGCUUGCAUGAGAAUGUUUGGUUGCAGAGUUUAUACACUGAGCGUGAGCAUUGGGUACCGGCCUUCUUGAAAAAUGUUUUUUGGGCUAGAACGAGUACAACGUAGUGGAGCGAGAGCAUGAAUGCCUUUUUUGAUGUUUAUGUUCAUGCUAAGACAAACUUGAAAGAGUUUGUCAAUCAAUAUGAUAAUGUCUUGAAAAAGAAGAUUGAGAACGAAAAUUGCGCGGACUUCCAAUCAUUUAAUGUCACAAUUCCCUACAUCUCUAGAUCUCCAAUUGAAAAGAUAUACCAAGAUUUGUACACAAAAUCUAAAUUCAGGGAAGUUCAGCACCAACUUACUGGUAUUAUCGACUUGGACCCAGUUUUACUUAACUCGGAUGUUCAUGCUAAGACCUAUCUGGUAGAGGAUGAAAUUCGUAUCAAAUAUUUCACUAAGCUAGUUACACAUUUAGUGGAUUUUUGUGAGGACGAUGCAGUCGCCAAGUAUUCUUGUGGUUUAUUUGAAAUGAGGGGGAUAGUGUGCCAGCACAUCUUCGCCGUCUUCAAAUGUAACGAGAUUAAGACAAUACCAGAUAGGUACAUUUUGAAUCGAUAGAAGAAAGACAUCAAAAGAAGAUACACGUUAAUCCACAUCAACUAUAACGCAGGGGAUCAACGAGAAGAUGCUAAUAGAUAUUCAAGUCUGUUGAAUAUCUAUUAUAAGAUGAUUACUUGUGCGGUGAGUUCGAAAAAACAUACUGAGGAUGCAACAACUAAGUUAAAUGCAAUGAUUGACCUGUAUGAAACGGACCAAGAACCUCCAUCGAUGACUGAAAAGUGUUUAAAUGUUGAUGGCACGACAAAUGACACAACUACAAUUGGUAGUUCAACAAAAGUACUCAGUCCACGUGUUGUGCGAGGAAAAGGCAAACCCCCAUCUCCGAGGAGAGCAUCCAGGAUAGAGAGAGACCUGCAAAAAGUUAAGGAGAAGACGAAGAAAGCUGCGGAAAAGGGAAAACGCAAACAGCGAGAUGGGGAAGAUACACCAGUCGGGGACACUUGCAGGAGGCUAUUUGGCCCUUCCGAUUUGGACUUCUCCAAUGUUGGACACGCGAGGAUAAUAUAAUAAGUAUAUAUUUUUAUUUGAGUUAUGAUUUAUUGCUCUAUUUUUUACAAGUAUUUAUCAUCAGGCUAUUCCAAAAAGCAUACCAACUAUUGACAUUAGUGGAACCCAGGCCCGAGAAACAGUACUUCAAAGUCAAGAAAGCAUGUAAUUUGAGUUUGAUGGAUCACAACCACGAAAAUGAUAUGAUCAUCGUGGAUUAGUAAGCAUGAAAACUGGAAGAAGUCACCUGAACCUAAGAAAUGUAUAGUCACAAUGAAAUUGCUCCGUUUGGUCUGCCCUUGUUUAUAUAUCCAAGGAGUUUUGAGUCCUUGAUGAGCCAAAGUAGCAUACAGCAGGGAGUCAUGGCUUGUAUUCUGAUGCCUACCAAGCAGUUUUUUUCCUUUCAAGAAUUAUGGCUAUGUAUCUAUCUUAAAAUGUAUACUGACUUAUGCAAUCUUAGAACUGAGGUCUGUAGGUUCAUAUAGUGUGAAGAAACUUCUCUAGGACGUCUAUGUACGAAUGCAGUUAGUUUUACUUU